rnacentral:tRNA from 1 species
CAUUGCUUAGUGGUGAAAGUAUCGGGCUUGUAACCCGAAGAUCAUGAGUUCGAAUCUGCUUUG